GGUGACAUAGCUCAGUUGGUAGAGCAUCGGACUGAAAAUCCGUGUGUCCCUGGUUCGAAUCCUGGUGUCACCA
rnacentral:tRNA from 1 species